GAACAGCUGGCGGCGUGCUUAACACAUGCAAGUCGAACGAUGAACAGGAGCUUGCUCCUGGGAUUAGUGGCGAACGGGUGAGUAACACGUGAGUAACCUGCCCUUGACUCUGGGAUAAGCGUUGGAAACGACGUCUAAUACCGGAUAUGACCCCUACCGGCAUCGGUUGGGGGUGGAAAGAUUUUUUGGUCAAGGAUGGACUCGCGGCCUAUCAGGUAGUUGGUGAGGUAAUGGCUCACCAAGCCGACGACGGGUAGCCGGCCUGAGAGGGUGACCGGCCACACUGGGACUGAGACACGGCCCAGACUCCUACGGGAGGCAGCAGUGGGGAAUAUUGCACAAUGGGCGAAAGCCUGAUGCAGCAACGCCGCGUGAGGGACGACGGCCUUCGGGUUGUAAACCUCUUUUAGUAGGGAAGAAGGGAGCUUGCUCUUGACGGUACCUGCAGAAAAAGCACCGGCUAACUACGUGCCAGCAGCCGCGGUAAUACGUAGGGUGCAAGCGUUGUCCGGAAUUAUUGGGCGUAAAGAGCUCGUAGGCGGUUUGUCGCGUCUGCUGUGAAAUCUGGGGGCUCAACCCCCAGCCUGCAGUGGGUACGGGCAGACUAGAGUGCGGUAGGGGAGAUUGGAAUUCCUGGUGUAGCGGUGGAAUGCGCAGAUAUCAGGAGGAACACCGAUGGCGAAGGCAGAUCUCUGGGCCGUAACUGACGCUGAGGAGCGAAAGCAUGGGGAGCGAACAGGAUUAGAUACCCUGGU
rnacentral:rRNA from 1 species